rnacentral:rRNA from 1 species
UGGCGGACGGGUGAGUAACACGUGAGCAACCUGCCUUUCAGUGGGGGACAACAGUUGGAAACGACUGCUAAUACCGCAUAACGUGCCGGAAGGGCAUCCUUUUGGUACCAAAGAUUUAUCGCUGGAAGAUGGGCUCGCGUCUGAUUAGAUAGUUGGUGAGGUAACGGCCCACCAAGUCGACGAUCAGUAGCCGGACUGAGAGGUUGAUCGGCCACAUUGGGACUGAGACACGGCCCAGACUCCUACGGAAGGCAGCAG